CUGAUAUUGAAAUUCGGCACAGCUUGUACAGGAUAGGUAGGAGCCUGAGAUACGUGAGCGCUAGCUUACGUGGAGGCGUUGGUGGGAUACUACCCUCGCUGUGUUGGAUUUCUAACCCGCACCAUUUAUCAUGGUGGGAGACAGUGUCAGAUGGGCAGUUUGACUGGGGCGGUCGCCUCCUAAAGAGUAACGGAGGCGCUCAAAGGUUUCCUCAGAAUGGUUGGAAAUCAUUCAUAGAGUGUAAAGGCAUAAGGAAGCUUGACUGCGAGAC
rnacentral:rRNA from 1 species